rnacentral:tRNA from 1 species
GGCCCCAUAGCCUAGUUGGAUAAGGCGCCAGCCUUCUAAGCUGGAGAUCCAGGGUUCGAGUCCCUGUAGGGUCA